GUUUUUUCGCCUAAGGAUAGGUCUGCGGCUGAUUAGGUCGUUGGUGGGGUAAUGGCCCACCAAGCCGAUGAUCGGUACGGGUUGUGAGAGCAAGGGCCCGGAGAUGGAACCUGAGACAAGGUUCCAGACCCUACGGGGUGCAGCAGGCGCGAAACCUCCGCAAUGUACGAAAGUGCGACGGGGGGAUCCCAAGUGUUAUGCUUUUUUGUAUGACUUUUCAUUAGUGUAAAAAGCUUUUAGAAUAAGAGCUGGGCAAGACCGGUGCCAGCCGCCGCGGUAACACCGGCAGCUCGAGUGGUAGCUGUUUUUAUUGGGCCUAAAGCGUUCGUAGCCGGUUUGAUAAGUCUUUGGUGAAAGCUUGUAGCUUAACUAUAAGAAUUGCUGGAGAUACUAUUAGACUUGAAGUCGGGAGAGGUUAGAGGUACUACCGGGGUAGGGGUGAAAUCCUAUAAUCCUGGGAGGACCACCUGUGGCGAAGGCGUCUAACUGGAACGAUCUUGACGGUGAGUAACGAAAGCCAGGGGCGCGAACCGGAUUAGAUACCCGGGUAGUCCUGGCCGUAAACGAUGUGGACUUGGUGUUGGAAUGGCUUUGAGUUGUUCCGGUGCCGAAGGGAAGCUGUUAAGUCCACCGCCUGGGAAGUACGGUCGCAAGACUGAAACUUAA
rnacentral:rRNA from 1 species